rnacentral:rRNA from 1 species
GUACAGUGGCGAAAGGGUGAGUAAUGCAUGGGUAACCUGCCCCCGGGACGGGGACAACCUCUCGAAAGGGAGGCUAAUACCCGAUUAUACCGGCCGACGCAUGUUGGCCGUGUCAAACGGAGGGGAUCCUUCGGGACCUUCCGCCCAGGGAGGGACUCAUGGCCUAUUAGCUUGUUGGUGGGGUAGCGGCUCACCAAUGCUGCGAUGGGUAGCCGGCCUUAGCGGGUGUCCGGCCACACUGGGACUGAGACACUGCCCAGACUCCUACGGGAGGCUGCAGUCGAGAAUCAUUGUCAAUGCGCGAGAGCGUGAACAUGCGACGCCGCGUGGGUGAUGAAGGCCCUCGGGUUGUAAAGCCCUGUCACAGGUUAUGAAUCGCGUGGGGGCGAAUAGGCCUCACGUCUGACAAAGGCCUGAGAGGAAGCUCCGGCUAACUCCGUGCCAGCAGCCGCGGUAAUACGGAGGGAGCGAGCGUUGUUCGGAAUUACUGGGCAUAAAGGGCGAGUAGGCGGCCAGAUAAGUCGGGUGUGAAAUCCCUCCGCUCACCGGAGGAACUGCGCCCGAUACUGUCUGGCUAGAGAUCAGGAGGGGAGAGCGGAAUUCCUGGUGGAGCGGUGAAAUGCUUAGAUAUCAGGAGGAACACCAGUGGCGAAGGCGGCUCUCUGGACUGCAUCUGACGCUGAGGCGCGAAAGCCAGGGGAGCGAACGGGAUUAGAUACCCCGGUAGUCCUGGCCGUAAACGAUGGGCACUUUGUAGGGGGGGGACCGAUCCUCUCCCUGCCGAAGCUAAUGUAUUAAGUGCCCCGCCUGGGGAGUACGGCCGCAAGGCUAAAACUCAAAGGAAUUGACGGGGGCUCGCACAAGCGGUGGAGCAUGUUGCCUAAUUCGAUUCAAAGCGAAGAACCUUACCGGGGUUUGACAUGCACGGAUUAGCCCCCUGAAAGGGGGGUGACGCCCGAAAGGGUGGAACGUGCACAGGUGCUGCAUGGCUGUCGUCAGUUCGUGUCGUGAGAUGUUGGGUUAAGUCCCGUAACGAACGAAACCCUUGUCCUUAGUUGCUAGCACUUCGGUGCGCACUCUAGGGAGACUGUCGCUGUAAGGCGGAGGAAGGUGGGGAUGACGUCAAGUCCUCAUGGCCCUUACGCCCCGGGCUGCAAACAUGCUACAAUGGCCGGUACAAAGGGAAGCAAGACCGCGAGGUGGAGCAAAUCUCAUAAAGCCGGCCCCAGUUCGGAUCGGAGGCUGAAACUCGCCUCCGUGAAGUCGGAAUCGCUAGUAAUCGCGGAUCAGCUACGCCGCGGUGAAUAUGUUCCCGAGCCUUGUACACACCGCCCGUCAAGCCACCCAAGCAGAGCGCACCCGAAAUCGCUGACCCAACCCGACAUUAGUUGGGAGGGAGGUGCUGAAGGUGAGUUUUGUGAGGAGGACUAAGUCGUAACAAGGUA